CCUGGCUUCCCCAGUGGAAAUCUAAGGUACUGGAGGCUUCCAGGGGAGCCAGGGCACCCCUAGGACAACCCCCUCUCUCUGCAGAUGGGGAAACUGAGGCCUGGAAACAGAGAACGGUGGGACCAAGGUCACAUGAUGGCGGAAGGAGGACAAGGAAGGAGGCUGACUGCGUAUCCAGCACGUGUUCCGUGCCAAGCCUGUGCAGGGGCCAAGGACCGGGGUCUCUGGACAGCGCCGGUUGCUGGGUCCCACGCUGGGCGACAGGGCCUUUGCAAUCAGGCCGACAGGGUUUGAACCCUUGCCACAGCACUUUCCAGAUGGCCUUGGCCACUGUCCCCUCUCUGACCUUCAGAUGGAGCCCAUGGCACCUCCGGAGGGGAUUCCAGGCCCCUCGAGGCCAGGACUGCACCGUUCAUCUCGGAAUUCGCUUGUUCCUGACUUAGGGGAGUCGCGCUGAGACACCGUGUAGCGCCCAUGCCAGGGAGGAAGCGAGACAGCAGGAGCGGAGGAAAGAACCCCGGGCUGUGUUGAGGAAGCCUCCUACUUUUGCCUGAAGUGAGCCACCCAGGACUUUGUGACCACAG
rnacentral:lncRNA from 1 species